rnacentral:rRNA from 1 species
UGAGGAAUAUUGGUCAAUGGGCGAGAGCCUGAACCAGCAAUGCCGCGUGUGGGAUGACAGGGCUUCGCCUUGUAAACCACUGUCGGAUGGGACGAAAAGAGGUAAGAACCUCUGGGAUGGUACCAUCAAAGGAAGGGUCGGCUAACUACGUGCCAGCAGCCGCGGUAAUACGUAGGACCCGAGCGUUGUCCGGAUUUACGGGGUAUAAAGGGUGCGUAGGCGGUCUUGUGCGUCAGAGGUGAAAUCUCCGGGCUUAACCCGGAGGGUGCCUUUGAAACGGCAGGACUUGAGUGCGGGAGAGGGUGAUGGAAUUCCUGGUGUAGCGGUGAAAUGCGUAGAUAUCAGGAGGAACACCGGUGGCGAAGGCGGUCACCUGGCCCGUAACUGACGCUGAGGCACGAAAGCGUGGGGAUCAAA